GCUAACUCUCAUCCAGGAAAUCAUGACAGGAUAUAAAUGAAUCAAUUUCACUAGAAAACCUUCAAUCAGGUGUUUUAUUUACAGCAAAGCACAAAAAAAUAAAACUUGUAUUCAACAAAAUACAUGUAUUUCAGCUCAUACAGACCCAUAUUUCUUCAGUCUCUUUCUCAUUUUUGAAAUAAUGCUGAAAUAAUUGAAUCAAAUUUAUCUCUCGGUGUCGAAAGCUUUAUCUUUGAUUUCUUGUUGUCAAUAUUACUGUCAGUAUUACCAAUUUUUCAAGUUGAAAAUUACACAAUUUGGCGAACAAUUAAAAGUGAAGAAAAAUCUCAAGUAGAAGCUGCUUUCCUAUAUUUGCUGCAAAAAAGAAAUGGCAAGGUCCAGCUACAAUUGCUUUAUCUUAUUUAUUGUUUCAGUUGCUCUUCAACUAGUGACAGAGUGUGAUUGUGAGGUGGAUUUUAUGUGUGCGUAUGAAAAGGAGAUGUGUCUGGAUGACUCAGACUGCUGUGCUGGACUCCACUGCAGCCCAAUGGUCAUUGAUCUGUUCCACACCAGAUAUUUCAACGACAAAACCGGUCGGUUGAAGCGGUGCGAGGCCCCUGAUUCUUGGUUUGACACCAUGGUUUGAAAAUCUAACCAGAAGAUGCAAAACUGAUGAAUCGAGAAUUGGAAACUAAGCAGAGCGGGCAAAAUUUUUCGAUAGCCAUUAAG